AUAUGUAAAACGCCAAAUUUACCUGUAGAAUAGCCCCAGGAUGUAACGUGACGAGUCCUCCGUAAUACAGACCCACACACUUGGUAUUUUCACACGUGAGAGCUCGUAGCAGACACCAGUAACCAGAAAAAGACUUUCUUUAAGGCAGCUAAAACCAACAGAACUUAUUGGAUGAUGUAAUAACUGAUACAGAAACGGUAAAGCACACUAUGUUCAACACUAGUGACGUACAAUUUUGAGCCACUUCGUUAAAAUGGAAGAAAGAGUAAAAUCCCCAAAUAUCGCCAGCUACCCUCUCAAAAUUGUAUAGUACUCAAGGACCCAAAAACGAAACUAACUUUUAAACAGACGCCACCAAUUAAGGAAUUUAUAUACUGUGCCCCUAGCAUGUAUAAGCUCCUGUUAAUGUACUCAGGGACCCAAUACGAAAAUUUCACUUUUCAACAGACACUCGUGUAAUUAAGGUUUCAACUAGGAAAUUCUAUGCAUAUGCCCUUAACAUGUAAGCUUCAACCGAAGUAGGACGUCCGUUAUAAUCCUGAGGAUGAGCUAUUCCAGGUAUCCACAUCUGGGGGCUGCGCGAUAGAGGAUGAGGAUUUGCAUCACACUCUCAAAUAAAUAUUGAACUUUGCAUCGAAUUAAAUUAUCAUACCUGCAAACUGCUGAAGAAGACAGCAACACAUUGAAGUACACUUCGUAUUAUAAAAUAUUCUAUUUAUCCAGAAACCUUAGCACAGAUCGAUUAUGAAGAUAAUGUUAUUGUACCGACACAAAAUGGUAAAUCACACAUCGACUUAUAUGCAUGUACAGAAGAAUCGAAAAAACAUAAUGUAACGUAACGUAACGUAACCAAGCCAAAUACUGUUCAGAACGUCGUCCUAGUUGAAAUAAAUAUAUAUACCACAAAA